GAUGAAGAACGUAGCGAAAUGCGAUACGUAAUGUGAAUUGCAAAUUCAGUGAAUCAUCGAGUCUUUGAACGCACAUUGCGCCCCCUGGUAUUCCGGGGGGCAUGCCUGUCCGAGCGUCAUUGCUGCCCUCAAGCACGGCUUGUGUGUUGGGCCCCGUCCUCCGAUCCCGGGGGACGGGCCCGAAAGGCAGCGGCGGCACCGCGUCCGGUCCUCGAGCGUAUGGGGCUUUGUCACCCGCUCUGUGGGCCCGGCCGGCGCUUGCCGAUCAACCCAAAUUUUUAUCCAGGUUGACCUCGGAUCAGGUAGGGAUACCCGCUGAACUUAAGCAUAUCAAUAAGCGGAGGA
rnacentral:misc_RNA from 1 species